rnacentral:rRNA from 1 species
CUGGACCUACGGGAGGCAGCAGUGAGGAAUAUUGGUCAAUGGACGAGAGUCUGAACCAGCCAAGUAGCGUGAAGGAUGACUGCCCUAUGGGUUGUAAACUUCUUUUAUAAAGGAAUAAAGUGAGGCACGUGUGCCUUUUUGUAUGUAUUUUAUGAAUAAGGAUCGGCUAACUCCGUGCCAGCAGCCGCGGUAAUACGGAGGAUCCGAGCGUUAUCCGGAUUUAUUGGGUUUAAAGGGAGCGUAGAUGGGUUGUUAAGUCAGUUGUGAAAGUUAGCGGCUCAACCGUAAAAUUGCAAUUGAUACUG